AUGCCCUCUUCGGCACAUAUACUAAAACUGGAAUGAUGCAAGCAUCAUUAGUAUGGCCCCUGCACAAGGAUAGCAUGCAAAUUCAUGAAGCAUUUCAUAUUAAA